rnacentral:rRNA from 1 species
UACGUAGGGUGCAAGCGUUAAUCGGAAUUACUGGGCGUAAAGCGUGCGCAGGCGGUUUCGCAAGUCAGAUGUGAAAGCCCCGGGCUCAACCUGGGAAUUGCAUUUGAGACUACGAAGCUAGAGUGUGUCAGAGGGGGGUAGAAUUCCGACGUGUAGCAGUAGAAAUGCGUAGAGAUGUGGAGGAAUACCGAUGGCGGAAGGCAGCCCCC